UACGGGGGGGGCAAGCGUUGUUCGGAAUCACUGGGCGUAAAGCGCACGUAGGCGGAUCUUUAAGUCAGGGGUGAAAUCCCGAGGCUCAACCUCGGAACUGCCUUUGAUACUGGGGAUCUCGAGUCCGGGAGAGGUGAGUGGAACUCCGAGUGUAGAGGUGAAAUUCGUAGAUAUUCGGAAGAACACCAGUGGCGAAGGCGGCUCACUGGCCCGGUACUGACGCUGAGAUACGAAAGCGUGGGGAGCAAACAGG
rnacentral:rRNA from 1 species